rnacentral:rRNA from 1 species
GGGUUGUGAGGUUAAGCGACUAAGCGUACACGGUGGAUGCCCUGGCAGUCAGAGGCGAUGAAGGACGUGCUAAUCUGCGAUAAGCGUCGGURAGGUGAUAUGAACCGUUAUAACCGGCGAUUUCCGAAUGGGGAAACCCAGUGUGWUUCGWCACACUAUCAUUAACUGAAUCCAUAGGUUAAUGAGGCGAACCGGGGGAACUGAAACAUCUAAGUACCCCGAGGAAAAGAAAUCAACCGAGAUUCCCCCAGUAGCGGCGAGCGAACGGGGAGGAGCCCAGAGCCUGAAUCAGUGUGUGUGUUAGUGGAAGCGUCUGGAAAGGCGCGCGAUACAGGGUGACAGCCCCGUACACAAAAAUGCACAUAUUGUGAGCUCGAUGAGUAGGGCGGGACACGUGGUAUCCUGUCUGAAUAUGGGGGGACCAUCCUCCAAGGCUAAAUACUCCUGACUGACCGAUAGUGAACCAGUACCGUGAGGGAAAGGCGAAAAGAACCCCGGCGAGGGGAGUGAAAAAGAACCUGAAACCGUGUACGUACAAGCAGUGGGAGCCUCUUUUAUGGGGUGACUGCGUACCUUUUGUAUAAUGGGUCAGCGACUUAUAUUCUGUAGCAAGGUUAACCGAAUAGGGGAGCCGAAGGGAAACCGAGUCUUAACUGGGCGUUAAGUUGCAGGGUAUAGACCCGAAACCCGGUGAUCUAGCCAUGGGCAGGUUGAAGGUUGGGUAACACUAACUGGAGGACCGAACCGACUAAUGUUGAAAAAUUAGCGGAUGACUUGUGGCUGGGGGUGAAAGGCCAAUCAAACCGGGAGAUAGCUGGUUCUCCCCGAAAGCUAUUUAGGUAGCGCCUCGUGAAUUCAU